GAGUUUGAUCCUGGCUCAGAACGAACGCUGGCGGCGUGCUUAACACAUGCAAGUCGAGCGGCAGCGCGGGGGCAACCCUGGCGGCGAGCGGCGAACGGGUGAGUAAUGCUUCGGAAUCUUCCUAGUAGUGGGGAAGUAAACCUGGGGAAACUCAGGCUAAUACCGCAUACGAACUACGGUUGAAAGCAGGGGAUCGCAAGACCUUGCGCUAUUAGAUGAGCCGAAGUCGGAUUAGCUAGUUGGGUGGGGUAAAGGCCUACCAAGGCGACGAUCCGUAGCUGGUCUGAGAGGACGACCAGCCACACUGGGACUGAGACACGGCCCAGACUCCUACGGGAGGCAGCAGUGGGGAAUAUUGGACAAUGGGGGCGAACCCUGAUCCAGCGACGCCGCGUGUGUGAAGAAGGCCUGCGGGUUGUAAAGCACUUUUAGUGGGGAUGAAAAGACCGAAGGCUAAUACCUUUCGGUCUUGACCUAACCCAAAGAAAAAGACACCGGCUAACUCUGUGCCAGCCGCCGCCGU
rnacentral:rRNA from 1 species